GGGUGAAGAGCAUAGAAUACUACAUAUUCUCAGUUCCAUAGUGUGGGUUGUUUCACAUUUUUGUUCAAGUAUCGCACUUUUUCUGUCAUCUGUACCUGCUUCUUUCUCAACAUACAAGAAUACAACUAAUUCGACGAUGCUUUUCGAAUGUUCGACUCCUGUGAAUUGAAUUCAACUUCAUCAAAUAAUCAGUGGAUAAUAAUAUUUUGUGAAAGUGCGAACGUCAAACCGAAGCGAACAUUUCAUUGUCAAGAAAGAUGAAUUCCGAAGUUAUCAGAAUUCUAAGUAGUAGCGCCAAUGGUGAAUUGAUUUUAAUUAUCACCUGUGUUCUACUACUUAUUACUCCGGUAACUGACACCAACCGAAAUCAUCUUCGUAAUUAUUUAAUUGUUAAUUAAGUAGGUAUUUAUACGAAUGAAUGUAAGUAGAGGUAUCUCGAAUUUCGAGUUUUAAUCUAUCUAGUUUAAGAAUCACUGUGUAUCGAAAAAUAAAUCCAAUAAAAUCAAACAAAUUUC